AUGAACGCUAGCUACAGGCUUAACACAUGCAAGUCGAGGGGCAGCGGGAUUGAAGCUUGCUUCAAUUGCCGGCGACCGGCGCACGGGUGAGUAACGCGUAUCCAACCUUCCGCUUACUCGGGGAUAGCCUUUCGAAAGAAAGAUUAAUACCCGAUGGUAUCUUAAGCACGCAUGAGAUUAAGAUUAAAGAUUUAUCGGUAAGCGAUGGGGAUGCGUUCCAUUAGGCAGUUGGCGGGGUAACGGCCCACCAAACCUACGAUGGAUAGGGGUUCUGAGAGGAAGGUCCCCCACAUUGGAACUGAGACACGGUCCAAACUCCUACGGGAGGCAGCAGUGAGGAAUAUUGGUCAAUGGGCGAGAGCCUGAACCAGCCAAGUAGCGUGAAGGAUGACGGCCCUACGGGUUGUAAACUUCUUUUGUGCGGGAAUAAAGGAACCUACGUGUAGGUUUUUGCAUGUACCGUAACGAAUAAGCAUCGGCUAACUCCGUGCCAGCAGCCGCGGUAAUACGGAGGAUGCGAGCGUUAUCCGGAUUUAUUGGGUUUAAAGGGAGCGUAGACGGGUUUUUAAGUCAGCUGUGAAAGUUUGGGGCUCAACCUUAAAAUUGCAGUUGAAACUGGAGACCUUGAGUACGGUUGAGGCAGGCGGAAUUCGUGGUGUAGCGGUGAAAUGCUUAGAUAUCACGAAGAACCCCGAUUGCGAAGGCAGCCUGCUAAGCCGCCACUGACGUUGAGGCUCGAAAGUGCGGGUAUCAAACAGGAUUAGAUACCCUGGUAGUCCGCACGGUAAACGAUGGAUACUCGCUGUUGGCGAUAGACAGUCAGCGGCCAAGCGAAAGCGUUAAGUAUCCCACCUGGGGAGUACGCCGGCAACGGUGAAACUCAAAGGAAUUGACGGGGGCCCGCACAAGCGGUGGAGCAUGUGGUUUAAUUCGAAGCAACGCGAAGAACCUUACCAAGUCUUGACAUCCCUCUGACCGGCCCGUAACGGGGCCUUCCCUACGGGGCAGAGGAGACAGGUGGUGCAUGGUUGUCGUCAGCUCGUGCCGUGAGGUGUCGGCUUAAGUGCCAUAACGAGCGCAACCCUUGCUGCCAGUUACUAACAGGUCAUGCUGAGGACUCUGGCAGGACUGCCAUCGUAAGAUGCGAGGAAGGUGGGGAUGACGUCAAAUCAGCACGGCCCUUACGUCCGGGGCUACACACGUGUUACAAUGGGGAGUACAGAGGGCAGCUACCGGGCGACCGGAUGCGAAUCCCGAAAGCUCCUCUCAGUUCGGACUGGAGUCUGCAACCCGACUCCACGAAGCUGGAUUCGCUAGUAAUCGCGCAUCAGCCACGGCGCGGUGAAUACGUUCCCGGGCCUUGUACACACCGCCCGUCAAGCCAUGAAAGCCGGGGGUACCUGAAGUACGUAACCGCGAGGAUCGUCCUAGGGUAAAACCGGUAAUUGGGGCU
rnacentral:rRNA from 1 species